UCCCCUCUGGUGUAAUGGUCGCACAUUUCGCGUUUUCACCCUCAAGGGACUUCUCCGGGAGUCACCUCCUUAAUGCGAAAAGUUCUCGGUUCGAAUUCGGGGAGUGGAA